GCCAGGUAUGGUGGGGCACACCUGUAAUCUCAGCAACCUGAGAGGCUGAGGCAGGAGAAUUGCAAGUUCGAAGGCAGCCUGGGCAACUUAGCAAGACUCUGUCUCAA
rnacentral:sRNA from 1 species